GAUGAACGCUGGCGGCGUGCCUAAUACAUGCAAGUCGAGCGAACAGACGAGGAGCUUGCUCCUCUGACGUUAGCGGCGGACGGGUGAGUAACACGUGGAUAACCUACCUAUAAGACUGGGAUAACUUCGGGAAACCGGCGCUAAUACCGGAUAAUAUCUUGAACCGCAUGGGUCAAUAGUGAAAGACGGUUUUGCUGUCACUUAUAGAUGGAUCCGCGCCGCAUUAGCUAGUUGGUAAGGUAACGGCUUACCAAGGCUACGAUGCGUAGCCGACCUGAGAGGGUGAUCGGCCACACUGGAACUGAGACACGGUCCAGACUCCUACGGGAGGCAGCAGUAGGGAAUCUUCCGCAAUGGGCGAAAGCCUGACGGAGCAACGCCGCGUGAGUGAUGAAGGUCUUCGGAUCGUAAAACUCUGUUAUUAGGGAAGAACAAAUGUGUAAGUAACUAUGCACGUCUUGACGGUACCUAAUCAGAAAGCCACGGCUAACUACGUG
rnacentral:rRNA from 1 species